rnacentral:rRNA from 1 species
GAGAGUGGCGCACGGGUGAGUAACGCGUAUGCAACCUACCUUUAACUGAGGGAUAGCCCAUAGAAAUGUGGAUUAAUACCUCAUAGUUCUUUUGGUCCGCAUGGACUUAAAAGAUAAAGCUCCGGCGGUUAAAGAUGGGCAUGCGUGACAUUAGCUAGUUGGUAAGGUAACGGCUUACCAAGGCUACGAUGUCUAGGGGUUCUGAGAGGAUGAUCCCCCACACUGGUACUGAGACACGGACCAGACUCCUACGGGAGGCAGCAGUGAGGAAUAUUGGUCAAUGGGCGCAAGCCUGAACCAGCCAUCCCGCGUGCAGGAUGACGGUCCUAUGGAUUGUAAACUGCUUUUAUACGAGAAGAAACCCUCCGACGUGUCGGAGCUUGACGGUAUCGUAAGAAUAAGGAUCGGCUAACUCCGUGCCAGCAGCCGCGGUAAUACGGAGGAUCCAAGCGUUAUCCGGAAUCAUUGGGUUUAAAGGGUCCGUAG